UCAAACUAAUAAAUUAGUUUUCAACAACUAAAUUUUAGUUUGUUUCCAUCAAAAACCUGGUUGUUUAUUGUUGAUUUGCAUUAUUCAAAUCAAACAUGUGUUCUAGGUUGAUUCAACCAAAGCAAAUAUUUAAAUCAAGCUAAAUUUGUGUUUGCUCAAAAUCAUGCCGCUGUUCUCCGCUCCCGGGUUUGGAGUUUGCCCCAUUAUGGGUGCAUCUGCGAUACGAAUUACGAUUACUGCCGGGUCGUCGAAUAGAAAUUGCGACUUUCAAUACUAUUCAGCGGCAAGCAAUCCAGGAAAUCGAAUCAGCUAGAAUGCCGAUCGGGGUUUCGACUCGGAUUUCGAUGGGGAAUCGAAUAGGAGACGUUUGUAGCCGCGGUCAUUUAACCUUUUGUGAAGUUUUAAGUUUAUUCUACUGUCUACAGUUGGAUGAAAAAUGCCCAUAUAACCGAGGUGAAAAAAUCCUUACAGUAAUAAAAAAAAUAAUACUUUGUGCUGAUCCGCAAGCAGGAAGAGCCGGGUUUAUACGGUUUGGAAUCAUUACGAGGGAACUGGAUCCACUGAAGCACAAUGGCAUUUUGUUAUGGGCUGAUAUAUAAUCAAAUGAACAAUAUGUGUUGUAGAACAUUUGUAUAAAUCUAUACAUAUCCAUUACUCCGUAGAAAUGUGCAUAUAAAU